GACGAACGCUGGCGGCGUGCUUAACACAUGCAAGUCGAACGGAAAGGCCCUGCUUUUUUGGGGUGCUCGAGUGGCGAACGGGUGAGUAACACGUGAGUAACCUGCCCUUGACUUUGGGAUAACUUCAGGAAACUGGGGCUAAUACCGGAUCGGAGCUCCCGCUGCAUGGUGGGGGUUGGAAAGUUUCGGCGGUUGGGGAUGGACUCGCGGCUUAUCAGCUUGUUGGUGGGGUAGUGGCUUACCAAGGCUUUGACGGGUAGCCGGCCUGAGAGGGUGACCGGCCACAUUGGGACUGAGAUACGGCCCAGACUCCUACGGGAGGCAGCAGUGGGGAAUAUUGCACAAUGGGCGGAAGCCUGAUGCAGCAACGCCGCGUGCGGGAUGACGGCCUUCGGGUUGUAAACCGCUUUCGCCUGUGACGAAGCGUGAGUGACGGUAAUGGGUAAAGAAGCACCGGCUAACUACGUG
rnacentral:rRNA from 1 species